rnacentral:rRNA from 1 species
UACAGAGGGUGCGAGCGUUAAUCGGAAUUACUGGGCGUAAAGCGUGCGUAGACGGCUAUCUAAGUCGGGUGUGAAAGCCCCGGGCUCAACCUGGGAAUUGCAUUCGAUACUGAGGAUCCCGAGUCCGGGAGAGGUGAGUGGAACUGCGAGUGUAGAGGUGAAAUUCGUAGAUAUUCGCAAGAACACCAGUGGCGAAGGCGGCUCACUGGCCCGGUACUGACGCUGAGGUGCGAAAGCGUGGGGAGCAAACAGG